GCUUGCUCCUUGGGUGACGAGUGGCGGACGGGUGAGUAAUGUCUGGGAAACUGCCCGAUGGAGGGGGAUAACUACUGGAAACGGUAGCUAAUACCGCAUAACGUCGCAAGACCAAAGAGGGGGACCUUCGGGCCUCUUGCCAUCGGAUGUGCCCAGAUGGGAUUAGCUAGUAGGUGGGGUAACGGCUCACCUAGGCGACGAUCCCUAGCUGGUCUGAGAGGAUGACCAGCCACACUGGAACUGAGACACGGUCCAGACUCCUACGGGAGGCAGCAGUGGGGGAUAUUGCACAAUGGGCGCAAGCCUGAUGCAGCCAUGCCGCGUGUAUGAAGAAGGCCUUCGGGUUGUAAAGUACUUUCAGCGAGGAGGAAGGUGUUGUGGUUAAUAACCGCAGCAAUUGACGUUACCUACAGAAGAAGGACCGGCUAACUCCGUGCCAGCAGCCGCGGUAAUACGGAGGGUCCGAGCGUUAAUCGGAAUUACUGGGCGUAAAGCGUGCGCAGGCGGUUUGUUAAGCGAGAUGUGAAAGCCCCGGGCUCAACCUGGGAAUUGCAUUUCGAACUGGCGAACUAGAGUCUUGUAGAGGGGGGUAGAAUUCCAGGUGUAGCGGUGAAAUGCGUAGAGAUCUGGAGGAAUACCGGUGGCGAAGGCGGCCCCCUGGACAAAGACUGACGCUCAGGCACGAAAGCGUGGGGAGCA
rnacentral:rRNA from 1 species